GUGCCAGCAGCCGCGGUAAUACGGAGGGGGCUAGCGUUGUUCGGAAUUACUGGGCGUAAAGCGCACGUAGGCGGACUGGAAAGUUGGAGGUGAAAUCCCAGGGCUCAACCUUGGAACUGCCUUCAAAACUAUCAGUCUGGAGUUCGAGAGAGGUGAGUGGAAUUCCGAGUGUAGAGGUGAAAUUCGUAGAUAUUCGGAGGAACACCAGUGGCGAAGGCGGCUCACUGGCUCGAUACUGACGCUGAGGUGCGAAAGUGUGGGGAGCAAACAGGAUUAGAUACCCUGGUAGUCC
rnacentral:rRNA from 1 species